rnacentral:rRNA from 1 species
CGCGUAGGCGGUUUUGUUAGUCAGGCGUGAAAGCCCCGGGCUCAACCCGGGAACUGCGUUUGAUACUGCAAGACUUGAGGACGGAAGAGGAAAGUGGAAUUCCUAGUGUAGAGGUGAAAUUCGUAGAUAUUAGGAGGAACACCAGAGGCGAAGGCGGCUUUCUGGUCCGUUACUGACGCUGAGGCGCGAAAGCGUGGGGAGCAAACA